rnacentral:rRNA from 1 species
CGGUGGAGCACGUGAUUUAAUUCGAAGCAACGCGAAGAACCUUACCUGGUCUUGACAUCCCGGAGACCCUUAGGAAACUAGGGGGUGCUUCCAUCUGGAAGAAUCUGGAGACAGGUGCUGCAUGGCUGUCGUCAGCUCGUGUCGUGAGAUGUUGGGUUAAGUCCCGCAACGAGCGCAACCCUUGCCUUUAGUUGCCAGCAGUUCGGCUGGGCACUCUAAAGGGACUGCCGGUGUUAAACCGGAGGAAGGUGGGGAUGACGUCAAGUCCUCAUGGCCUUUAUGACCAGGGCUACACACGUACUACAAUGGCCGAUACAAAGGGCAGCGACACUGCGAGGUGAAGCCAAUCCCGUAAAAUCGGUCUCAGUCCGGAUUGGAGUCUGCAACUCGACUCCAUGAAGUUGGAAUCGCUAGUAAUCGCGAAUCAGAAUGUCGCGGUGAAUGCGUUCCCGGGUCUU